UCCCCAGUGACACAAUCGGUUAGCGCGCCGUACUUAUAAUGCGGAGGUUGUGAGUUCGAGCCUCACCUGGGGAA
rnacentral:tRNA from 1 species